AUCCCCGGGAAACUGGGGUCAAUUUCCGAUAGGUGAAAAUUCCUGGAAAGGUUUUUUGCCCAAAGGGCGUUUGGAGCAUGCUUUCAAGCGUUGCCUAAGGAUGGGGCCGCGACCGAUCAGGUUGUUGGUGAGGUAAUGGCUCACCAAGCCUAUUACCGGUUCGGGCCGUGGGAGCGGUAGCCCGGAGAUGGGUGCUGAGACAAGAACCCAGGUCCUACGGGGCGCAGCAGUCGCGAAAACUUCGCAAUAAGCGAAAGCUUGACGGGGCUAUCCCGAGUGCCGUCUGCUGAAGAUGGCUUUUACCUAGUAUAGAUAGCUAGGAGAAUAAGGAGAGGGCAAGUCUGGUGUCAGCCGCCGCGGUAAUACCAGCUUCUCCGAGUGGUUGGGAUAAUUAUUGGGCCUAAAGCAUCCGUAGCCGGCUGGACAAGUCCCCUGUUAAACCCAGCGAUUUAAUCGUUGGUCUGCGAGGGAAAACUGUCCGGCUUGGGGGCGAGAGAGGCCGUCGGUAUUUCCCGGGGUAGGGGUGAAAUCCUAUAAUCCCGGGAGGACCACCAGUGGCCGAAGGCUGUCGGCUAGAACGCGCUCGACGGUGAGGGACGAAAGCCGGGGAGCAAAUGGGAUUAGAUACCCCAGUAGUCCCGGCUGUAAACGAUGUCCGUUUGGUGUCGCGUGCUUUACGUGAGUAUGCGGUGCCGGAAACGUAAGUGUUAAACGGAACCACCUUGGGAGUACGGUCGCAAGGCUGAACUUAA
rnacentral:rRNA from 1 species